UACGUAGGGCGCAAGCGUUAUCCGGAUUUAUUGGGCGUAAAGCGCGUGUAGGCGGCCAGAUAGGUCUGCUGUGAAAACUCGAGGCUCAACCUCGAGCUGUCGGCGGAAACCAUUUGGCUAGAGUCCGGAAGAGGAGAGUGGAAUUCCUGGUGUAGCGGUGAAAUGCGCAGAUAUCAGGAAGAACACCGGUGGCGAAGGCGGCUCUCUGGGCCUUACCUGACGCUGAGGAGCGAAAGUGUGGGUAGCGAACAGG
rnacentral:rRNA from 1 species